rnacentral:tRNA from 1 species
UUUAAUGUGGCAGAAUAGUGCACUGGAUUUAAGCUCCAAUUAUGGGAGUUUACCUCCCCAUUAAAA